GCUUCUGUGGCCUAGUGGUUAGAGCGUUCGCUUCGGAUGCGAGAGAGCGUGGGUUCGAUCAACGACUGAGUCAUAUCAAAGACU